rnacentral:lncRNA from 1 species
CGGCGGCGGCUUGCGGACGUAGCGCGCCAGCAGCAGGAUGCCGAGAAGCUGGGCGGCGAACAUGCCGAUGACGAAGACGCAGAUGCCGAUGUCGACGACGGGGUUGCGCCCGGCGAGCGCGAUCAGAAGCCGGAGCAUUUGGUGGACUCGCCGCGAGUUGCAGAAUCAUGUCUUCGAGUGGCCCAAUGUUUUCCGCCCUCGUGGCGCACCUGGCACGUCGGCACGUGUCCCUGGUCACUACUGGAUAUGUCACAUGUCUCUGUUCCUGGUGGAUAGAUCGAUCGAUGGAUAUCAGCAUCACAUUCGCAUACGUUGUCUCCAUCCGGACUAGGCAUGCACAUGAUGAUGGAUCCCAUGCAGGCACGCAUGGAUCGCCCGCAAACUCUGCGGACCAGUUCCCUUGGGCUGGUUUUGCCCGGCCGUUUGGAGGCCAUGCUGCAGGCUGGUUGCUGGCAGAGCGCCAAGAAAUUUAGAGGGUGUGCGAAUCCCUCUCCAUGAAACUUGUCUUUCGGGCGGAGUUUUUUGGCAACCUUUUUGCCGUUUUGGAUAUGCUGCAGUUCUCUGCAUGGCGUACGGCGUUCAUAACCGUGCCUGGCACUGCUAGUGCAAAACUUGACUUUUGCAUAUCCCAGCAGCAACUGAAAAGCUGUUCGGUUGAGAUUGCUGAUGCAGCUGCAGCUGCAGCAGCCAAGUGAGGCGUUUGAGACUGGGUUGUGGGCCUUUGGCCUUAUGCAGCUGCUUGUGCGGCCAGCAGAUCGAAGCCAACACACCGAACAUUGCAGUUGCAGGCCAUUGUAUGGGUCCUCGAAUUCUAGCCCUUGUUCACUUCCUACAAAACUCCCAACUUUGGCACUAUACAAAAAGAAGGUUCCCCAUCACAUCAAACUUGCGGUACAUGCAUGGAGUACUAAAUGUAGACAAAAUCAAAAACUAAUUGCACAGUUUUAUUGUACUUUGCGAGACGAAUCUUUUGAGUCUAAUUAGUCAAUAUUUGGACAAUAAUUCACAAAUACAAACGAAACGCUACAGUGUUGCUACAGUAAUUUGGCACCAGCCCUUGUUUACUUUGCGAAUUUGGGAGGUGCCAAAUUACUGUAGCAACACUGUAGCGUUUCGUUUGUAUUUGUGAAUUAUUGUCCAAAUAUUGACUAAUUAGACUCAAAAGAUUCGUCUCGCAAAGUACAAUAAAACUGUACAAUUAGUUUUUGAUUUCGUCUACAUUUAGUACUCCAUGCAUGUACCGCAAGUUUGAUGUGAUGUGGAAUCUUCUUUUUGCAUAGUGCCAAAGUUGGGAGUUUUAUAGGAAGUGAACAAGGGCCGAGCCUCAAUGGAACAUGAGCACUGUAGGACUCGGAGGUCUUGAGCCCUUACAUAUCCUUGCAGCGCAAGAAGUCAAGAACAGCUUCAGCUCUCACCUCUCAGUUCCCCUCACGUAGCCAUCUUGUGCUGGCACCGCGGCACCGGCCCAAAUCCUCCGGCAACUGCUUCCGCGAGACUUUCGGUGCUCCUGCCGACCAAGGUUGCCGACGAUUCCUCCGCCCGGGCAGAAACUUUCAAGCAAAUCAUGGCCCACAAAGAAGCUUCCCUGAAAUUUCCCCUUUGAAUGUUGAACCUUAGUCGCUAAGCAAAGAAACUUCUGCGAGCCUUCGAGAGCAUCGUUUUUCUCCGAUCCGGAGCUGCCCGUCGUCGCCCUGUCCCUAUCCCACCAGACUGCGCCAUAUCGCUCUCGGAACCUCUGAGUUCACACGCCUGACGCCACUAUAUAUAGACGACGCAUUGAGGCCCCAUUGUGCCUUGCCUCCCAGCCCGGCUGAAAAGCUUGAGGAAUCCCUCCAGUGUGGUAUGUUCAUGCCACACAAACAUACACAUAGCUCGGUCUAGCUCAUUUUCCAGUUCAUGCAGAAGUGUAGCUAGUUUGCAAUGGAUCAAUGGUUGGAGCAAGGCUCAGAGGGGUGUGGAUGACCGGAACAGGUGCAGGCAACUCGGAUCAUACUACUACACUACUACAGGCCACAGGGAGGCUAUAUGAGCAUGGAAGGCUUUUGGGCAUUGGCAGUGAACUACGGAGCUUCUGAAACAGACAAGUGUUUCCCUUCUUCGACCUCGCACUUGUUUGCCGGUGGUCGAAGCAUCUCCCUGGCUAUCUCCCGCCGUGGCCAUGUAUCACAGGAUCAUGCGUCUGACAUAGCAUCAUGGGAUAGAGUCUGCUAUCAAGGAUUGCGCCGAAAAGGGGAAAAGAAAAGAAAAGGAAAGGAAAAAGAGGUGCCAAGUAUCAUAAUAGAUUUUGGGAGAUCUUAGGUGCGCUACACAAGUUGGAGUACACAAAAGGCGAUUGGUACGGUUCAUCAGCCUGUAAACCUUUUGCAAGCUAUCUUGCCCACAUAAAUCCCAUCGUCUUGACGGUUACUUUGUACUCCAUUCGUUCCAAAUUAUAGAUCGUUUUAACUUUUCUAUUAUUAUGCAUCUAGGCAUAGAGUAUAUCUAAAUGUAUAAUGUUGACGUCAGAUUUCGUCACUAGUAAAAUCGGCGCCAAGAAGAGAGGGAAUCGGAGAAGCACAGUUGGGAAUCGGUCAAAUGGUGCUACAGUGCGAGAUCGGCCGAUGACUUUUGUCUCGCCUCGGGUCGAACGUGCCGGAGUCCCAAUCGGUUGCCUUUUGCCGAUAAGGAAUCGGCCGAUUUGGAGGUUGAUUUAAUUGGGCCUGUAUGGGCUUGGAAAGGAAUAAAAGGAUGAGGUGGAGAUCAGCCCAUGAAACGUAGAGUAACCAACCUAGCACGAAUUGUGCUUGUAAAUAUUCGUUUUCUGUUUGAAUUAGGGAUAGAGUUCUAGUCGGUUAAGAAGUCAUCUGUACGGGGCUAUAAAUAGCUACCUUUGUAAAUCUGUAAUCAUCAACCAAUCAAUACAACAUACUACUUUUUCCUCAUACUUACUUUCAAGUAGGCGACUUCGUCAACACUUUUCUCUUUUUCACGAGUUCGUACGGGUUGGCAGGGCUGCAUCAGUUUGAUCUCCGGCCGAUUCUGUAAGUUCCGCUUAUCGAGUAAUAUCUAAGCUUUAACUUCGGGCGUAUCGCUGUUGUUUCGUUUAGAUUUAUUCACUAGUUAUCGAUAUUUGCUAGAAUCAUAGGUUUUACCUGUCUUUCUAGUUUUAUCACCAGUUAUCCAGCUAGGAAUCGGUAGUUUCGGUUUCUUUCACGUUUUGUUAUUAAAUUCAUCUAUUGCCGAUUAGAUCUAUUCCUAGUGUUGUUAUCAUAGCUUUGUAUCGAUUACUCUAGUAGUUCUCUAUCUACAAGGCUACAGUGAUCGGUUGCUUUAUAGCCGAUUCCUUUGUUAAGGCAAAUCGGCCGAUUCGCUGAUAAGCUCUCUCGAGAUCGGAAACUUAGCCGAUCGUGAUUUCUGAACCUGACAUGUAUUCUUCCUUGCCAAUCAACAGGUCAGAUUGGCUGGCACGCCGCGCGAACCGCACCAGGGCAAUCACCCGAACAGGAGCUAAGCAGAUUCUCCCGGGUCGUGUGUCGGACGCUGGGAUUCGGUUGACCGAUUUCUAGCGCCAACACAUAACAAAGCCUAUGAAUCUAAAAAGCUAAAAUGAGCUAUAAUUUGGAACGGUGCCUAGCUGAACCUAGUUGACUUUUCUGUUGCCUAAUCAAUCAAUUAUUAGCACCGCCGUUGUUUCUUAUUUCCCCACCAAAACUACGCAUUGAUUUGAUAUCCAACUCAGAACACUAUAAAAUCGGACUUUUCUCCUUGCCUUUCUCCUUCUCCAGCCUUUUUAUUCGUAGAUGCAAACUUUUAUACCAAUGAAAAAUGAACAGCUUAAGUUUCGAUGCCUGAUUGGCUGAAAAUAAGUUACUUUUACCAAAAGCCAGACUCAAUUUAACAAAGAGCAAGUACAUACAUGAUAACAUGGCACACUUUUGACACACACGUGCGAAUCAACUGUUACAAAUUGUUUCAGGGGAUCGCCGAUAGCGACGCUGCUCUUCUCCGUCAUCCCAUCUUCCACACCGUAGAGCAGGAAAUGAUCCGGGAAAAGCAACCGGAACGUUCCACUUCCUGGACAGGGGAUAAGCACACCACCGUGGUGUACUGAUGAACUUGCAGUUGUUCACCGGAGAUUACAGCGAGCCUCUGCCACUGACGACUUAUCAUAAGACCUCACACAAUGUCAUAGCACAGUAAGUAUUGGAUUUAUUUUUUGACUUGACCGACUCAACUUUUCUCUCGAAUCGAUUUGUUCCCACGGUGUUGAUUAAUGUCGUCACCAGCCGUCAGUUAGGAACAGGACGGGCACGAGAGGCGUCGUGGGGAUGAGGAGAAGCAGGGCAUAAUGGCAGAUGCAAUGGCGCGGGACAGGGCGGCGAACCUCUCUAGUUCCCUUGCCCAGCCGACGUGCGGCAUGUAGAAGUUUUAGGAAAUUCACUUGGUGUUGAAGACGAGGGCGGCGGUGAUGGAGCUGAGCACGCCUGUGACGAGAGUAGCUGCAAGCGUCAUCGUGUUCAGGAGCUCCACAGCCGCCGGGUACUCCUCGUUCCCAGCACCGCCGCCGCCGGCGGCGGCGGCGCGCACGUGCACAUAGGUCAGCACCAGGGAUAGGUAGAACGUUGCCGCGCCGGCGUACUGGAGGAGUUGAACGGCGGCCACUCUGAGUAGUACCGGAGCUUGGACUGGGCCUAGCUGUAUGCACUCCACGAGCGCCACCGAAGUGCAUAGGAUGAAGAACAUCACCUCGGGGAUCCGCCAGUCGCCGGCGCUGGCGCCACCGCGGCUGCCGGUCCGGAGGUGGACGUAGAUGAUGGUGAUGGCGGUGAAGAAGGUGGCGACUGCAGCUAGCAUCCCAUGGGGAGCGGGAUCGAUCUGUGCCUGUGCAGCAGCUUGAGCGGCGUCGAAGGCACCCGGCGGCGACUCGCUGAGGAAGGGGAGCAGAACGGCGGCGCUGAUCCCCACGCAGAGACCGCUCAACGCGAUGGGCGCCGAAGCUGCGGGGGGCAUGGUCCCUGUUAAUUUGCUCGCAGCUCGCUUUAGAAGAUGGGCCGGGCGUGUGCGAGCUUGGCGGCCACGACGUAACCACGCUGCUUUUAUAGGCCCAUCCGCCGCCCAAGGAGAUGGAGAUAGUUUAUAUUGGUCAGAUGGGCAAAGACAAUAUUUUCAAACAAAGAACAAAUGGCACGCAGUGACUUCACAGGCCAUGGCCAUGGCCCGAGGGGAGUUGCCGGUUUUUGGGACACGGAGGGAGCAUGGCGGCGCCGCGGUCCGCUGCGACCUACUCCAGGACGAGGCGAAGUCCUCUACCUCCUCCGUAGACCAUAUAUGGUCAACGGCGCGCCGGCGCGGCGCGUCGCCGUGGGCUGCUAAAUUAUAAAACUAAUUGCAGAAUUUUUGAGCUAAUGGUCCCACAAAGAAGCUUCCCUGAAAUUUCCCCUUUGAAUGUUGAACCUUGUCGCUAAGCAUAGAAACUUCUGCGAGCCUUCAAGAGCAUCGUUUUUCUCCGAUCCGGAGCUGCCCGUCGUCGCCCUGUCCCUAUCCCACCAGACUGCGCCAUGUCGCUCUCGGAACCUCUGAGUUCACACGCCUGACGCCACUAUAUAUAGACGACGCAUUGAGGCCCCAUUGUGCCUUGCCUCCCAGCCCGGCUGAAAAGCUUGAGGAAUCCCUCCAGUGUGGUAUGUUCAUGCCACACAAACAUACACAUAGCUCGGUCUAGCUCAUUUUGCUUCGUCGAUCAACUUCUCUGCUUUCUCAGUUCAGGUCAUUGGCAUAAGUUGCAGGUGCCCUGGAUUCAGUGACUGGAGCUAGCAAAGGUUGUUUCCAGUUCAUGCGGGACUGUAUCUAGUUUGCAAUGGAUCAAUGGUUGGAGCAAGGCUCAGAGGGGUCAGAGGGGUGUGGAUGGCCGGAACAGGUGCAGGCAACUUGGAACAUAAAUUACUCCCUCCGUUCCAAAUUACAUGUCAUUUUAGCUUUCAAUCGUUUUAGCUUUUUUUUAAUGCAUAGAACCUAGUUGACUUUUCUUGUUGUCGAUCAAUUAUAAGCACCGCCGUUGUUUCUUAUUUCCCCACCAAAACUACGCAUUGAUUUGCUAUCCAACUCAGAACACUAUAAAAUCGGACUUUUCUCCUUGGGAACAGAAAUAGGAGAGAGGGGAAGAAGUAGGAUAGAGGGAACGAGCAUAACUAAGAAGGUUAUGCCUUGCCAACUGCAACAAUGAUUUUGUUGACCCAUGCACGGUUCGUGCUGGAAAAAUGUGCAAUAACCAUAAGAUAGAAGCAUGCAUAGGGCUAUAGCAACCUGAGAUUGAGAAAUAAAGAAUACUAUUACUUCUGCUGAUUUGAACCACUCACCUAGAUCUUCUAAAAAUCUAAGGAUAAUUUAUCAUGCAUCUAAAACUCUCAAGCAAAAAUAUAAGUUGCCAGUCAAUUUUUUUAAAAAAAAUUAUAUUCACAUUAAAUAUAUAUAUAGUAUUCUUUCUAUAAAUAUAUAAAAAUAUGUUUCUAUACUUACACCACAUAAUAUAACUUUUGAGAGAAAGACCAUAGAUGAUACAUUGAUUUGGCUAUUAAGACGACAAUUAUAUUGACAUCACCAAACAAAACUAUUUGCAUCCAUUUUUUUAAAGUAUAAAAAAUAAAAGAUUGAAAAAACACUAGCUACCCGUGCAAUUUGCACAGGCCACCUUGGAUUGGAUCCAAACAUCAGAAUAACUUCCCCAUCGAGAUUCCAGAUUCUUGCUGUAAAAGUAUAGUACAACUAGUACAGUACUCGGCUCACGGUACAAUUUUACACGAGCUCUGGAUUCUUGAAUACUAAAAGUAGAACAGCUAGUAGUAUAUGAUACCAACCAGAUCCGCGUCGGCGCAUGCACGGCGAGUCUCCCCAUGACCCCAUCCGCCUCGCGCCCGGGCGGGGUAUAUUCGGGAUGACGACGUCGACGAGGAGGCAGGCGAGGGUGAAGGCGGCGACGACCACGGACGUCAGCGUGCUGAGGGCGCAGGGGCAGCGUCGCCGCCGACGGCAGGGGCCGCAUUACGCGCCCUGAGGUAGAAGCGGACGAGAACUAGAAGCGUGGCGCCGACCGCGACGGCGACGGGCGUGUUGGUGUGGCCGGGAGAGAGGCGGAGCGUGCCGAGGCCACCGCCCUCACCGAAAGGGAUGGCGACGAGGAGGGCGCAGACGGCGGCGACGACCAGGGGCAGGCUGAUGCAGCGCGCCGCGUGGCGCGUCGUCGCGGCGCGUUCCGCAGGGGCGGCGCGGACGCGAGCAUUCCGCGGCUCCCGGAAGACGCGGAGCAGACGCGUGCCGUAGAGGAGCGCGGCACCGGCGGCGAUGACGAUGGGGUAGCAGUACUUGGCGGCGAGGUCGACGAGUGGGCGGACCGAGCCCGGGCCGCCGGGACCGACGACGAGGCUCGCGGUGACGAGGGACGCCGCGGCGAGGGACAGCAGCAGGGUGAUGCAGGCGAGGGGAUCCGCGGCCGGCGCGGCGCCCGGUGCGCCACGCCCCGCGCCGGCUCCUCCUGCGGGCGGCGGCGGCUUGCGGACGUAGCGCGCCAGCAGCAGGAUGCCGAGAAGCUGGGCGGCGAACAUGCCGAUGACGAAGACGCAGAUGCCGAUGUCGACUACGGGGCUGCGCCCGGCGAGCGUGACCAGGAGCCGGAGCGCGUCCGGCCCGCCCAACGCCCCGGCGCCGAGAGCCAGGACGACGAUCCCCGGAACAGCGCCGGCCAUCGCCACGGGCGUCGUCAACCAGGCGACGCUCUGACUCUUUCGCCGAUUGCGUUGCUCUUGCUUUAUAGACAGUACGUGUACGGGCACGGCUAGCGAAGGCCCAAGCGUAUCCAACACGGACCAUUUCUUACCUUCCAUCAUAUUGGACGCAAGAGCUGCGGCGCCGGGCGACGCGUCGAGAAGAAUAUCGCCGUCGCCGAGCAACGGCCCGCGCCUGCGCCCUGAUGUUCUCCCUAGAUGUAAGAUCGGACGGUUUAGAAAUGCAGGUGAUGUGGACGAAUGGGAUGCCAGAGGCUGUGGUGCUGAUUUCGUUAUUAAGAGAUAGAUAUCCUCCUAAUUAAAUUCUGCAUGACGCAUGCUCUCUUUAUUUCAUUACCACGGUAAUCUAGCUAUCAAGAUAUGAUACUCCUAGUUCAAAAGCGACGCAAAGAUUUUUGUUUGGUUUAUCGCCUCAUAAGCAGCUGCAGUCUUGCAGAGGGUGGUCGGUUUCUUCAGUUUCAGGGGCAGUAAGGAAUUGCAUCUUUUUAGCUGUCGAGAGUGAAAUCAGCAUGUCUGUAUUUAGGCGCUGACGUGGAACAACCGAACAAGUGGGUUAAAUUGUAGCUCAUGUCCAUUCAUGAUUUGCAUGAUGUAAAGACUAGAGGGAGGAGGGAUGUUUGUGCACUUGGAAAAGAUGGGCUAACACGUGACGCUCAUCGGAUAUGUAACCCAAUGUUUUCCGCCUCGUGGUGCACCUGGCACUUCGGCACGUGUCCCUGCCUCCCUGGUCACCACUGGAUCUGUCAUAUGUCUCUGUUCCUGGCGGAUGUGUCGAUCGAUGGAUAUCAGCGUCACAUUCCUCCGCCCGGCCAUAAACUUCCAAGCAAAUCAUGGCCCACAAAGAAGCUUCCAUGAAUCCCCCCUUCGAAUGUUGAACCUUGGUCGCUAAGCAAAGAAACUUCGAGCACAAAGAAACGGCGAGACAAAUCUAUUAAGUCAGUAAAUGUUUACUGUAGCAACAUAUUAUUAAAUCAUGAACUAAUUAGACUUAAUGGAUUCAUUUCGCUGUUUAGCUUCCACUUAUAUAAUAAGUUUUGUAAAUAGUCUACAUUUAAUACUCCUAAUUAGUAUCUAAACAUUCGAUGUGAUGGGUGCUAAAAAUAAGCAAAAUAACCAAACAACCCCUUCUUCCGAUCCGGAGCUGCCCGUCGUCGCCCUGUCCCCAUCCCACGAGACUGAGCCAUGUCGCUCUCGGAACCUCUGAGCUCACACGCCUUUCUCCAGUGUUCACACGCCACUAUUUAACGGCACUCAUACGCGCCAUCGUGCCGCCUGCCUCGCAGACCGGCUGAAAAACUCGAGGAAUCCCUCGAGUGUGGUAUGUUCAUGCCCCACACACACACACGCAUAGCUCAUCCUAGCUCAGUUUUCUUCGUCGAUCAACUUCUCUGCUUUCUCAGUUCAGGUCAUUGGCAUAAGUUGCAUGUGCCCUGGAUUCAGUUGGUUAAUUAUCUCAGUGACUGGAGCUAGCAAAGGUUGUUUCCAGUUCAUGCAGGACUGUAGCUAGUUUGCAAUGGAUCAAUGGUUGGAGCAAGGCUCAGAGGGGUCAGAGGGGUGUGGAUGGCCGGAAUAGGUGCAGGCAACUCGGAUCAUACUACACUACUACAGGCCACAGGGAGGCUAUAUGAGCAUGGAAGGCUUUUGGGCAUCGGCAGUGAACUACGGAGCUUCUGAAACAGACAAGUCUUGGACCCGUUUGUUCCUUUUCCCUUCUUCAACCUCGCACUUGUUUGCCGGUGGUUGAAGCAUAAAUCAGUCGGAUUUUUAUUCAGCUCAAUCACUUUGAAAAGUCAAUAAAUGAUAAUAAAUUUGAAGAAUGUUGCACUAAAUUUGUAGAAACUUUUGGUUCAUCCGAUGUUGAGGUAUAUCAUCUUAUUUCCGAAUUAAAGAUUAUGAAAUUCACUUUGCCAGAUGGUGUAAUGUCUGCUAUGGAAAUUUUCGAGCAUGCCGGAGAUAUGGAUUGUUAUCCUAAUAUCUUCAUUGCUCAUCGACUCUUAUUUACUGUGCAUGUGACUGUCGCAUCGGUUGAAAGAAGCUUUUCAAAGUUGAAGUUAUUGAAGAACUAUUUGAGGUCAGCAAUGACUCAAGAGAGGUUAAAUGGUUUGGCAACAUUAUGCGUCGAAAAGAAAUUGUUGGAUAAGAUUGACAUCAACCCUAUCAUAAGUGAUUUUUGCACCGAGAAAUGUUAGAAGAAAUUUUUAAAAUAAUAUGUAUAAAUAAUUUGAUAUGAAUAUUUCUUUUAGAUACAUUUAAGUAUUUAUUGUUUAUUGGUAACAUUUCAUAUAUAUAUUUGUUAUAAUGUUUAUAUUAAAGAGCUCCGAGUUUUACUUUCGCCCCAGGCCUCCCAAAUUAAAUUUCAGAACCGGCCCUGAGCAAUUCUCUCCCUAUCGCUUUCAGAAGUCUAACCUACAUACUUAGGGAUACCAUAACUAAAGUUUAAGAAAAUUAACGAUACAUAUGACGGAGCGGCAUCUUCUUCCAUCGCUUGAUUAGGGAGUGAAUAGUUGUAUUUCCCAUUGCUGAAAUCUCCAUUUUGGCACUCCUUUAAUCUCCCCUUAUCCGAUCCCAGAUCAACGGGCAGCAAGCUUAGACAUCAAUUCCUUGAUGAGGGAUGGGCAGCUGACGGCGAGAUGGUCAAAGUCUUCAGUUGCCAUGGCAGCGUUUUAGUGCCCCAGGAGUCUUAAGGAACUGAAAGCAAGCUUCCUUUAGCACCUGGCAACGGUGCUGUUCAGCAAGCGCCAGAGUGGUCGCUGCAUUGCUCACCUCGAUGUGCCUGCACAGAGUGUCCUCGUAGAUCAACUUGAGCCUCUCCAUGUCAUACCUGUCUGCAGCCACGAGCAGGUGCUGAGCCAUCAGGGCUUCCUCGUGGUACGGCUCUUCAGGCUCCGGCAGCGAGUCGGUGUACAUGAAGUGCAGCAGGUUCUUGAACACAUCAUGUAACACCCAGUGUUAAUGACAAUUUAAGUAUGGCAUUAAGAAUUUAAUGGUGAAAUUUGGAUUAAAGGAAGGUUAAUUGAGCUAAAAUCAAAUUUGAGCCGAAUUCGACCAAAUUUGCAAUUUGGAGUUUCAAAUUUGGAUAAAUUUGGCAAAAAUAUGAAAUCGAGUCUUGAGAGUAUUCAGAACUCAAGGGAAUGAAUCUUGAAGUCUAAAUCAAGUCAUAAAGCUCUCAGAAAUACAAUCGAAAAUGGAAUCGAUGAAGUUACUAUGCAUCGUCCGAAAACGCGCAAGUCUGGAAAUGAUAUUGAGUACACAACUUUGGAGCCAACUUAUGGAGAAUUUUUCUUGUAAGUGAGCAGAUGUUUUUGGACAUUAGUGAAAUAUGGACUAUGGAGAAGGAAAAUGAAAUGUUGUUGGCCAGAGAAAGUGGAAGGUUUGAAUUUAAAAUGCAGCCCAAAAUCAGCAACUAAGCAGAUUUCAGCCUUCUCGCCAAGAAAAUCCUAAGUCUGAAAACAGCGUUGACUAGCAAUGUUUGGAGUGAAUUUUAGAAAAAUCCAGUGUAAAAUAUAUAUGAUUUCAUGUGCAAAAUGGAAUCUUUGUUAGUUGUAGAACAAGGAUAGGCAAGGUUCAAGCUGUAUGGAAGGAGUUUAAGCAAUCUAAAUUGAGCUCAAAGUAGGGAAGAAGUCUCUGUUUUGGAACCUGACGAGACUGAAUGACCAAGGUUGAGUUACAAAAGGUUCUGGUCGAACUUCGAGCUUCAAAAUCUCGGUGUUAAGGUGCUCAUCUCGGGUAGAGGCCAAUCUAUCAAAUAGAGUACUUGAGAUACUCUACAAGUUUGCUUAAAAGAGUUUUACGAGUUGAGAUGGAAAAUUUUGAGCAAUUGAGGCCUGAACAUGUCGGUUGGGAAGAAAGAAAGGAGAACAGAAAGAACAGAGACGGCAGGAGCCGUGCCGCCGCCAGCACUUCUGCCCGUCGGCCAGCACGACAACCCCAUCAGUGCCACGCACGCCCGUAAGUCGCCGAGGUGGCCUCCAUGCAUGCGGCAAGAACUUGUAUUUGUACCGCUCCCGCCCUCAUCCGUUAACCCCGCCGUCCUUUUCACCACCGCGCAAACAGAGCUCGGGUGGGCAACACACCGCCGGCCAAUUCCACCGCACCGCCGCUCUAUUCCUCGAUUCCAUCCGUCCUAAGCUCCGCCAGCUCCUCCUCAACGCCCCACACCACUCCGUUUCCCAGUUUCCCACCGGCAAGCCCCAAGCCGCCACAUCUCCUGUCCGCCGCCGCCACCACUGCUUCUCUUGGUGAGCUCCUCCAUGCUGCCCUUUCCUUUCGAUUGCUGGGUUUUGGGAACUUAGCUAAGCCUUGUAGAGGCCAUAGGGUGCGCCGCUUGUCGUUUUGCGCCACCGCCGGGCCUAGAGCCGGUCGGCCGCCGCCCGUAGGGGGCUCGGCUCAGGUUGCCGCCGGAGGGCCUAGCGCCGCCCGUGGGUGCGUCGUGGCCUGGGGAUUCCCCCCCAGCCCGGCCACGCGGCCGGGGAGGCCACCGCCGGUGAGACCCCGUCCCAACCUGCCGAGCCUGUCCUUGGCGCAAGCUUGAAGGAGGGCCUGAUCGAGGGGGCCCACUAGGCAGAGGCUAAGGAUAGGAGGGAGGGGGCCGGUUUGAGGGUCUUUGAGAGGGGGAGAGGGGACCGGGCCUUGGGGCCCGCAGGUCAGUGGCGCGGGGUAGAGAGGAGGUUGGUAAGAAAAGGGUUUGGCCGAGGUUUGGAUAAGGUUAAAGUUUUUCCUAUAGCAAAUAAAUAGCUGAAAUCCAUUUCUAAAUGAUUAAUUCACUAUAAAUCGUAGAGGUAUCAAAAAAUAGUGAAAUAAAUUUUAAUAGGUUUGUUUUUAUCUCCUUUACACAUUACAAUUGUUAAAAGCUUAUUUUUUUAUAGAAACUUUUUGGGUAUUUAUUUAGUGCCUUUAAUUAAAGGUAUUAAAUAAAUACUUAAUAAUUUCAAAAUACAUAAAAUAUGAAAUAAUGCUUUUCGAAUUACAAAUUAACAUAAUCUAUAGUAAUUAGGAGUUUAAGAUUAGAAAAUAAUUAUGAUGUUUUUCAAAAUAAAAGAAAAGGCUUGCAUAUUUAAAUAAAAAAUAAAGAUUAAGUACUUAUUUAAUGUUUUUACUUAAAAUAUUUAAGUAAAUGCUUAAGCUUUUUAAAUAAAUAAAAUUCUGAAUAAUGUUUUGAUUAAUUCCAAACAAAUAUUAAUCUAUAGUUUUACAUUUUCUUUUACAUUAGAAAUUAUUUCAAAUGCUUUUCAAAAAUAAAAAGAAAAGUCUAAAAUGGGUUUAAAUAAGGGAGUUUAAAUCGCGAGUUAGACGUUUGGGUAGAGUUUUGUUGGCCUGCAACUUUAUCAUGAAAGAAGUUGUAGAGUCCUGUGCUUAAAAAGUUGCAUCUCUGACUCAUGCAUACACUUUAUCGUAGAUACUGAAGCUCCAGAAGCGGAAUUUCUAGAAAUUUCUGAAGAACCUCCGGAGUUUGAGGAAAUUAUUGAGUUGAUCCCUUGUGAAGCCGGACCGUCGGACAACGCUAACAUUUUCAUAGAUCAAGGCAAGCCCCGGUGCAUUUAAGCCUAUCUAGUUUUGGAGUUAUUAUUUCAUGUGUCCAACUAUUGGUUAUUUCUUUAUGAAUGCAUUAAGUCUAGGAGUUGAUUGAAAACUUACUUUUAUGCAUAAUCCAACCUUGUUAUUAAGGACAUCUUUGCCACUUGUUCAAUAAUUAGUAAGUAUCCCAUGCUUAGCAAAGCAUAGUCGUGCUACCUUUAUCAUUUCUGAGUACCUAUGGUACUCAGCAACCUAAGGUAACAUUGUCAUACACAUGUAUAUCAAGGAAAUGACCUAUUUUGGAAGAUAGUGGACGGAAGCUUGGAUGGAAUCAAGAAAGGAGUCUUGAGUUCCGUAGUUCCGUCUACUCGGUUAAUUUGAUUAAGGACCGAUCGUUAUUUUAACCAAUGAUCAAGUGAUAUUACCUGGUUACUUACUGCCAUAUGGGAACCAGUAAGCUCGGUAGGUUAGUUGGCUCUUUGAUCGGAAAUAUUUCAUACCCGUGCUUGGCGUGCAGUGGAAGGGCAGGGGCGUAGCUUGAAACUCACAUUGGAGAUCGCCAGACGUGGGGUUCCAUGUGGGGGUGCGUCCCUGGGUUCGAGUAGUCAUAUUUCCGAUCGUUGGGUACAACUAAUCGAAAGGUUGUUAUGUGCAACCCGGACAGUUGUACAUAGCUAGUGGUCGGGUAUCUCCUACAGGAUGUAAAACGGUCUGGAUCGCCGCAAUUCUCGGAUAUGAAUGCACUUGAUCAUUGCUUGAGCAUCGUAGUGUAACAAAGAGAAGGGAACUGUUUGCUUUGAAUAAAUAUGUUAUAUGACUUAGUUCCAUCUGGUUGCUAAAAUAUUUUUCAACAUCUAGACUGGUCAGGUAACAAACUCAAUCUAAAAUAAAAGAUAAAACUAAGGUUUCACUUAUAGUAAGCUCUUUCUGCAAAAUGUGAGUCAGCCAAUACACCAUAAAGCUAUCAUACAGUGUAUCAAAAAUAUUUAUAUUGGUUAGACGGGUCAGACUUGCUGAGUACUUCGUACUCAGUGGAUCCUUUGUUGUUGUUUUCAGAAACCCAGCAGGGACCCACCGAGGAGGAAGCUUCGAAGAACUAUGGUAUCUUAUGAGUCUCAUGAUACCCUAGAAUAAACUUAGAUGUUUAAUUACUUGCCCCGGACUGGUUUAUAUUUUAAACUCUUAGCAAUGGGUUAACUUGCACUGAUAAGUUUCUUCAAUCUAUGGUUUGUAAUAAAUCGUACCUCUGUUAUGUAUGUAAAAAUGUAAUAUUUGUUGAUGCUAUCCCAUCGCGGAAGCGAUCAUGAUAUAUGGCUAUGGAACACACCGUGGAGGUUUUCAAGGAGUUCUGGGAACAGAACCCUUGACGGACUACCGGACUUACACUGUUUUAAGUGCAUUUUGGAUGAUUGUUGUUCUGACAGCAAUUAGAUGCACUUAAGCCAGUUUAAGUUGGGCGGUUCCGCCACACAUUAGCCCUCAUAUCAUGUAUCUCCACGCAUUGCGCCUCGAAGGAGGCUUCCUUCAUGGUGCCGAAGAGCUCGGCCUGGAACACCAACGAGCGCACCGCGAGCACGCACCGGUGCAUUGGGAAGUCCUUGUCAUCGACGUGGAAGCGCCAUCGGCGCCCUGCUCGUUGAGUAGGAGGUGCCCGAGGCGCCGCGACAGGUUCGGAGGCGACACCGCGACAAACACGGGGACGGCGGUGGCUUGCACGGUGAUGGUGGCGGUGUCCUCAACGUGGAACUUGGUGACGACGGUGAUGUCGUGGCGCAUGUAGAAGCUGUCGUACUUGAGGUUGAGGUGCCUCGACUUGUCGAGCACCUCCCUUUGGAUGAAGCCGGGGAAGGCCUAGUGCGUGUUGGGGCGCUGAACUGGUUCGUCGUGCUAGUCCUGGUGUAGGUCGACGCCAGCCUUCCGGCACAAUCGAGCAGGUUGAUGGAGAAUUGCGCCAGCACGAGGCCGCCGUUGGCGGUGCCGUCGAGGACCAGGUAUAUGGAGAUGUAGUCGGAGCGCUCGGCGCAGUCGCCGUUGGGGAGGUAGGCAAGGUGCCAGGAGUGGUCGUACACGUCGAAGGAGUGGGACCGGAGGUGGACGCCGACGGUGAGGCCCUUGGUGCGUGAGUAGCCAUUGAUCUUGAGCACGUGAGAGGGGGACGCUAUGCUGGCGACGAUGGCGGACGUGGUGAACGCCGGCUCCGCCGACAUUGUGGUGGCCGACGGUAGGAAUGGAUCGAAAGGGACUAGCUUCUCUAUGGAAGAUAGCGAUGGGACUGCUUUUGCUUAACCAGUCGGCAAAGACUAGCUAUUAGCAAUGCAUGUCCCUAAGAUUGUGGCUUUCUUCCACAUGUUCAACAGGCUCUCUCUGCGAUGGAUCAUAGAAUGAACACUUGGCGGGUUUUUAUAGAUGCUUGAAUCCGAGAGGAGCGUUGGGUAUGGUGGCGCGGGGUGGGUCCGAGAGGCGACGCGAUGGGGUAUGGCGCGAGGAGGGUCUGAGAGGAACAAGCAUGGAUGUGGGCUCAGGAAAGAAUCCCAUUAGAGAUAGAUCAGAGGAUUGGAGAUAGAUGGUUAAGCAACAAGCCUACCUCUCUACCUUGACCCACCCGCAGGGGCGAAGCUAGAGCACGGACAACUUCAGUGCACACUUCAAUAUGUAUAUGUAUAAAAAUCUAUGUCUAACCUAUACAAUGACAAAAUAGUAACGGUAAAAAUACUUACUAAAAUGAUAUAUCUGACCAAAUAUGUAUUUGACUAAAGUUUAUCCUAGCUAAAACUUUUAUAUCUUUUUUGGCUUAACUAAAGUUUAUCCUAGCUGAUGCUUUUACAGUUUUUUGGGUUUAACUAAAGUUUAGUCAACCGAUUAACUCUCUUGUUUGGUUGAAUUAGUGCUAAACUUUAGCCUUUCAAUGCAAAUAUAGUCAUAAGCCCAAAGGCUUUUGGUAGGUCCUGUCUCUCAGCUGACUGUCUAGUAUUUAUUAAUUAUGCUACGUUCUGCAUGUAUAUGCUAAUAAUUGGCCUCGCCCACUAUUGAUAAAUCAGCUAGGAGGGAGGAGAGCUCCUCUAUUUAUAGGUGCUCAUGAUCAUCAUGGUGUUGCCAUGUAGCAACUUUCACACUCUUCAAUACAAAAUAUCUUAACUCUAGAACCCUCCUCAUCCUUAUCUAGUUUCUUAUAUUUCUACCAUGCUAAAAUAUCUAGUUCUAGAGUAUUCUACACUUCACCAUGAAGCAUGACAAUUAUGACUCAUGCAUUCUCUCCAAUUUUAUAGAACCUUCUUACCUUGCCAUGAUCUUAUCCUUAUACAUGGCAAAGUUAAUCUCUUGAGAUCUCCACAAUCUUCUAAAAUGUUCCAAGUAUGCAUUGCAUAUUUCAAGACUCACCCCUUGCACGCACUGCAUUGAACCAGCUGCAUGCAACAAAAGACUUGUUGGAUCAUAUAUUUAUUUUGUGUCUGACUUUGCAGCAGCUACGAGCUCCCAACCCGCACCCCGUGCCAGCCCCAACGACAUUGUGGCAUCAGUGGGCAGGACACCAAAAGGAGGUAUGCAAUUGUUUCCAUUCCUGGCUAAUAAACAAGAUGGAGUGUGUAGGAUCGGUAUGCAAUUGUUCAUUACAGUAGUAGUAGUUUAUUCUUUUUGCCAUGGAUCAAUGAAAGUAGCUAGAGUAGUUGGUCUACAGUUAGUUGGUUUCAUUUGAGUUAACUAUUACCCACGAACACAACACAUCUAUCUAAUUAAUGUAAAUGGUAAUGACAUGCAUGGGCAGGAAUGGUGUCGAAAUGCAACAGCUCUACUCUUACGGCAAGGCUGGUAGAGCAGUGUACACUCUUGACAGCUGUUCCUCCUCCAGGCUACUGCUUGGCGUUGUUGGACACUAUAGACAACCCGAACCACGGAUGUCUCUGCAGUGUCAGCAAGUACGGCACCUUCGUCGAAGCCAACCUCGGCAUCGACUUGGUGUGGAUGCUUUCAGCACGUGCGAGGGCUGCAAGGAGGCGGUUCCAACUGCCAGCUGCUGCCCCUCCUCCCCUCCGCCACCAUCGUCCCCAACUCCUCUGCCCCGCCAGCCGCCGCUGCCUAACCCUCCGCCGUCCGAGACGUAGCGGCCUGCUGGACCGUCUGGUGGGGUGUUGGCUGGGAUCAUGGUGGGGAGAAUUGUCGGGGGCACCUUUACGAUUGCUGGCGUGAUGUGGUUAGUGCAUAAGUGGUGGGUAGCAGGUGAGUGUGACGACCGACCCCUAAUCUUCCGAGUUAAUCUUAAUCGGAGCCCUUGAUCAUAGUCAUCUGUUUUGUUUACCGUGCCUAAGUGCUCAGCCUUCAGCCGAUCCCGACCCCGGAAACCCGACCCCUCUCCGUUUCGCCCCUCUCCCGACCUCGGCAAGCUCAGCCUACCGUCGGAUCCUUCUAAAUCUUCCUCAAGCGUCCGUUCUAUCCGCCCGGUGGACCCGCGAGAUCUUUUCCCCAGAUCCUCCGCGACAGGCGCACUCGAGUUGCAUGCCCGUUUCAGAGUCUCCCUGCCGCGUGGCUCGUCUUCUCCGACGCCCGCCGCGCAGUUUUGUCUCUGGCUCGCGACCAAGUGGGUUCUCGCGCCCCCUUCCCCAAUGGCAGCGGAAGCCCCUCUGCAACCUUUCUGCAGUACCUCGCCUCCCGCGCCCAUCAUCACACCGCCAGAUCCCGGCCCCAGAGCCCGAUGUCGCCCGUCUUUUCCGUCACUUCAACCACAGUCGCGCCGCCUGGUCUCCGCUACACGACGAUGCCCCCAUCGCCAACCCUGACCGCGGCAGCGACAGCUCCUUUCCCCGCCCUGUCAGAAGCCGCCCGACAAUCUGUUGCUCCGCGCUCGCCCGCGCGCCCGCGGCCGCCUGUCUUCUCACCUGUGCGCCCUCGAUUCUAGCGCCGUUAAACCGGUCGCUUCUAUCAAAUCUUCCGCACGACGAUGCCCGCCUUCCACCAAAUCUCAACCACCGGUCUACCCGCUCCUACGCCGCCCUGACGACAGAACCCAAUGAUCGCUGGCGUCACCCCCGGAGCCCUGCACCACCACACCCUUCGCUCAAUCGCCGCCCCGGCAGAGCACUCCAUUGUUUCUUCCCGGCCUUCGCACCGCUCCCCUUCUCUCUCCCCCGCGCCGCUUCCUUUCUCAGUUCCAGCAGCUAUAAAAGGAAUGCACCAGCCGCCGGAGUUCCCUCCGCCAUUGUUGCCUUCAACCAUUCUCUCGCUCCCUGCUCGAGUUCCUAGCGCCACACACCAAGUUCUUGAGGAACUCUCCUCUCAGCCCCCCCCCCAGUUUUCUCCAUGUCGCCCGGCCGCUUGCUCCUCCGUGCUGCGUAAAAGCUUACUUGUGAUCUGCAAGAAGCACCGCCGCCACCGUAGCAUCCCCAGUCUUAGCCGUUGUUUAAGCUUUAGUUCCUCCGCCCAAGUCUGCUUCUUCCCGACCCCAAGCUUUCCUUUCAGGAAGAUGGUGAGUUGCCGACCCCAGUCCGCUUCGCCCGACCCCUCCUAUCCGCCUGACCCCGGUUCCGUCUCGCCCGACCCUGUCUGUUCCGCCGACCCUUAUCCGCCUCGCUCGAGGGCUCGACUGUGAUCUUUUCUUCAACCCGAGGGUGUAUGUGUAAAUUUAGGAACCCUUCAGCGCUUGCGUCUGAGGCUUCCUAGUAUACCACAUCCUCUAGUUCAAGGAUCAGAUCAUAAGUUCCUUUCUGAUCCUUACCUUUUGAUCAUCACCAGCUCUCUUGAACCUCCAUACCCUCCUGCUCUUUGUCGCGAGUUUCUAGGCUCAGGCGAGCCAGUGUUGCUGUUGAAAUAACCGUCUAUGCUAACUUGUGCAUUGCAUUCGUGUAGAGCUGCACCUCGCCGACGGCUUCUACGAGCUACACCCGGCACCAGAAGAAGAAGGUGUAGCCGAGCUCCUGCCUGCUGAAGCCGAAGUCGCCCCAGAAGUCGAGCAGUUUCCUUCCUCUUUGCUCGAAGGCAAGCCCCGGUUGCAUGAAAACCCUAUGUGUUUUACCAGACUUGCGCAUGCCUUCUGUAACAUGCUUGUGCAUUUACGUAUAGGAGUUGUUUGAAACCCUAGAUGCAUGACUCAGUUACCCCCAUGAUCUGAGCACUAGCUGUUGGACCGAGUAGUCGCAUUGCUUAACUAGGAAACGGUAAAAGCCGAGUGAUUCCCUGUCACUCGCGAGUUGUAGGAGUUGCAUGUCUACCCUUUCUGUUACAACUAUAAGGACGAGGGACGGGGCAGGGUUUUGGUAACUCUUUGGUGGUCGGAUGGUUGCCCCGUCUGUCUAUGAAAUCUUGCUAAGGCCCGACAGUGGUGGUGUUCGUGAUCAAGUGUUUGAAAGUACUAGCCUCAUACUUAGUAUGGGAUGAGGAAGCCUAGUACCGGAUUGAACCUAGACGUGAGCGGUCGCCCCAUUGUUCUUGGAACAGAGUUUCCCCUGCUGGUUGUCGCACGUGGUGGCAAGCGUGGUCACAGGACGGCAGAGGCCGGGCCUGUGGAACCUUGCACCAAAGGAAAUGGGCCCGACACGGGUUAGGGGAUUGAUAGGGAAGGCCGACACAGGAAGCGACCUCCGGGUGCGCGGAUGUCGUGAGGCUAGGUUCACCAUGCAUGGUUAAAGAACUCGAAUCGAUUCGUCUGCCUCUCACAGUUUGAGAUUGCUUGAUCGCUAUGUCACCCUGAGUAAAUGAGGAAUCUGAUGAUGACAUGUUGGUUGAUUUAUCUUCACGUCUUGUUUGGCUCUAUGAUUGCUUAGAAUAGGUUGCAAAACCUAGAUCAGCUAAUGAACUUAGAAUCGGAGCUAAAAUUGGAAAAUAGGGUUUUGCUUAGUGCUUUGGCAAACAAACCCCUCAGCCAAAAGCCUUGCAUGUCUAGAAGGAGGAGUAGUUUUACUCCCAUCGGUUAAGUCUUGUUGAGCUUAGUAGCUCAGCCUUGUUGUGGCUCCUGUUUUUCAGGUGAAGCAGUUGCUUCCGACCCCUCUCUUGCUGGCGCUUGGCCGCCCCAGCUCCCGCCGGGCUGGACGGUCGAGUGGGAUCCUUCCUCGGACGGCGAGGAGAGGAAUCAGUGAUGUCCCGGUUGGCCUCACCAGGGAUGUCCGAUCCCGACGAUUGCUUCCGCUAGUGGUUUUACCUUUUGUUGUUUUCCUUGAACCUUGUAAAAACUCUGAUGUGGAUUUUAUGGUUGAACUAAAUGGGUAAACUUGCUUAACUCAGUGGACUCGUUGUAUUCUCUGGAACCACUCACCUUCGUGUGGGUUUGCUAAACUCGAUCUUGUUCAAGUGGUUAAAUCGGAUGAAAUCCGAUGGCACUUCGUGUUAACUUGGUUUAGGCAGGAGUGUCGCAUGUUAGGCGGCUUAACCCUGUUUAAUCAAGCUAAUUCGAAGUGGAUCCGCCACAGUGAGGCAGUCAAUUUUGUUAUGCAUGCUCUAUUGUAUUCGCUUGCAUUGCUUUACUUUACUUUAUGGUGCGUGCAGAGGAGGUGACGCCCGCUGUCAGGGACGAAGCUAGAGCACGGACGAACUGAGUGCACACUUAAUAUGUAUAUGUAUAAAGAUAUAUGUAUAACCUAUACAAUGACAAACGGUAAUGGUAAAAAUGCUUACUAAAAUGAUGUAUCUGACCAAAUAUUAUAGGAAAAAGUGUUAGGAUGGGGAUGAUUAGUGCAUCGAUAUAAUAAAUUAAGGAAUUGAUUUGCACAUGAGGGACACUUCCAAAAUACUUGAGAGAUGAAAAAUACAUAUUUCCAAUAUUAUUACACCAAUUCCCCAAUUACAUGAUUUUGUAUAUUACUCCAAUACCCCAAGUCUCAAAUAUCAAUGAAUCCUUUCUUAGUUGCCUAUUUGUUGCAAUUUGCAAAAGCAAAACCUCUAAAUGCAGACUCUAACAUUGCAAUUUAAAUGAAUGAAUCACAAUUGGUGACCAAAGAAAUUGAAACAUUACCUUAUUACUUCAAACAAAUUGAUUUGCACCCAAAAUAUUUGUGAGAAAAUUAGUUGCAUACCAUUGAAAUUUGGAGCAAAACAAGAUUCUGGAAGGAUGCUGUAGCGGAGAGAAAUAGAAAAGGAAGCUUACGAGCAGCUUAAGACCGUGGGCACCGAUAUGGCAAAGAGGCAUGUUGCAACAAUCGGCGAUGAGCGAAUGAUGCCUCCCCAUCUUUUACGACUUGCAAUUUGGAACCUGGACGAUGAAUUUUUUGCGUUUUGAGCAACCGCAAUUUCGCGGGUGUUGUUUUCCCAAUUGGGACUAAUUAAUCAGAACUAAAGGUCUCCAUCUUAGUCCCGGAUCUUUCACCCAGGACUAAAAACCUCCUUUAGUCGCGGUUGGUAACACCAACCCGGACUAAAGGUGUCUCCAUGGACCAUAAAAUUUAGACCCAGUACUAUCUUUAGUCCCGGUUCCAAAAACAACCAAGAUUUUUGUUGAGGAUGGAAGGUCAUUUUUCUACUAGUGCAACUCUUGCUCGUCAUACGCGCGACACACUUGGCUUGUUAGCAGACGACCACUGGCUGUCCAUGUGGGCUUUUUCUGAUACAAUGCUUUGAACUGCCCUGUUUGUUUAUUGUGCUGUCCUGCCUGCAAAGAAAGUAUGCAAGCGCAACAAGCAUGGGCUACUGGGCCGGAUGGUGGUGCACGCAUCAGAGUUCAGGGAGUGCACAAAUGGUGGAAAUUAAGUUCUAAUCUCUGGAAUUUUGUUUUUUUCCCUGGUGCUUGUGCACUCGGCAAGCCUAACACGGCUUCACCCCUACCCACCCGGCCGCACCAGUGUGUCCCUGUUGCGGGUAGUAUUGCUCUGACUCCGCUUCACUCCCUUCCUUCCCCGUAGCUAGGGCUGGUUUGGGCCCCAGGCCCCCAGAUCUCCGGGCCCCACCCCACGUGUGCUACUUUUGACUAAACCUGUCGGAUUUUUAUUGAGCUCAAGCACCUUGAAGUCAUUAAAUGAUAAUGAACAUGAAGAAUGUUGCACUAAAUUUGAAGAAACCUUUUCUUUUGAUGGUUCAUCUGAUGUUGAGGUAUAUGAUCUUAUUUCCGAAUUAAAGAUUAUGAAAUUCACUUUGCCAGAUGGCGUAAUGUCUGCUAUGGAGAUUUUUGAGCAUGUCAGAGACGUGGAUUGUUAUUCUAAUGUCUCCAUUGCUUACCGACUCUUAUUUAGUGUGCCUGUGACUGUCGCAUUGGCUGAAAGAAGCUUUUCAAAGUUGAAGUUAUUGCAGAACUAUUUGAGGUCACCAAUGGCUCAGGAGAGGUUAAAUGGUUUGGCAACAUUAUGUAUUGAGAAGAAAUUGUUGGAUGAGACUAACAUCAACCCGAUCAUAAGUGACUUUUGCAUCGAGUAAUGUUAGAAGAAACUUUUAAGGUAAUAAUUUGGUAUGAAUAUUUCUUUUAGAUACAUUAAAGUAUUUAUUGGUAACAUUUCAUAUAUAUUUGUUAUAAUGUUUAUAUUAAAAGGGUCAGAGUUUUACUUUUUACUCCGGGCCUCCAAAUCUCAUGACCGGCCCUGCUCCCUGGCUACCUCUGCUCCCGCCGUGGCCAUGUAUCACAGUAUCAUGCGUCUGACAUAGCAUCAUGGGAUAGAGUCUGCUAUCAAGGAUUGCGCCGAAAAGGGGAAAAGGAAAGGAAAGGAAAAAAAAUGCCAGGUAUCAUACUAGAUUUUGGGAGAUCUUAGGUGUGCUAAACAAGUUGGAGUACACAAAAGGCGAUUGGUACGUUCAUCAUAAAUCUCAUCGUACGGUUACUUUGUACUUCCUCUGUUCGUUUUAGCUUUUCUAAAGACAUAAAUAUUAUUAUGCAUCUAGACAUAGGGUAUAUCUAAUUGCGUAAUAAAGUUUAUUAAUCUAAAAAAGCUAAAACGACCAAUAAUUUGGAAUGGACGGAGUAUUUGGCUGAACCUAGUUGACUUUUCUGUUGCCUAAUCGAUCAAUUAUUAGCACCGCCGUUGUUUCUUAUUUCCCCACCAAAACUACACAUUGAUUUGAUAUCCAACUCAGAACACUAUAAAAUCGGACUUUUCUCCUUGCCUUUCUCCUUCUCCAGCCUUUUGAUUCGUAUAUGCAAACUUUUAUACCAAUGAAAAAUUAACAGUUUAAUUUUCAAUGCCUGAUUGGCUGAAAAUAAGUUACUUGUGCAGAGUUGGUAUUUUUGCAAGAAUUAUACCAACAGCCAGACUCAAUGUAACAAAGAGCAAGUACAUACAUGAUAACAUGGCGCACUUUUGACACACACGUGCGAAUCAACUGUUACAAAUUGUUUCAGGGGAUCGCCGAUAGCGACGGUUCUCUUCUCCAUCAUCCCAUCCUCCACACCGUAGAGCAGGAAAUGAUCCGGAAAAGCAACCGGAACGUUCCACUUCCUGGACAGGGGAUAAGCACACCACCGUGGUGCACUGAUGAACUUGCAGUUGUUCACCGGAGAUUACAGCAAGCCUCUGCCACUGACGACGUAUUAUCAUGAGACCUCACACAAUGUCAUAGCACAGUAAGUAUUGACCGACUCAACUUUUCUCUCGAAUCGAUUUGUUCCCACGGUGUUGAUUAAUGUCGUCACCAGCCGUCAGCUAGGAACAGGACACGCACGAGAGGCGUCGUGGCGAUGAGGAGAAGCAGGGAAGAAUGGCAGAUGCAAUGGCGCGGGCCAGGGACAUCGACGAGGAGGCAGGCGAGGGUGAAGACGGCGACGACCACGGACAUCAGCGUGCUGAGGGCGCAGGGGCAGCGUCGCCGCCGACGGCAGGGGCCGCAUUACGCGCCCUGCGGUAGAAGCGGACGAGAACUAGAAGCGUGGCGCCGACCGCGACGGCGACGGGCGUGUUGGUGUGGCCGGGACAGAGGCGGAGCGCGUCGAGGCCACCGUCCGCACCGAAACGGAUGGCGACGAGGAGGACGCAGACGGCGGCGACGACCAGGGGCAGGCCGAUGCAGCGCGCCGCGUGGCGCGUCGUCGCGGCGCGUUCCGCAGGAGCGGCGCGGCCGUGAGCAUUCCGCGGCUCCCGGAAGACGCGGAGCAGAGGCGUGGCGUAGAGGAGGGCGGCACCGGCGGCGAUGGCGAUGGGGUAGCAGUACUUGGCGGCGAGGUCGACGAGUGGGCGGACCGAGCCCGGGCCGCCGGGGCCGACGACGAGGCUCGCGGUGACGAGGGACGCCGCGGCGAGGGACAGCAGCAGGGUGAUGCAGGCGAGGGGAUCCGCGGCCGGCGCGGUGCCCGGUGCGCCACGCCCCGCGCCGGCUCCUCCUGCGGGCGGCGGCGGCUUGCGGACGUAUCGCGCCAGCAGCAGGAUGCCGAGAAGCUGGGCGGCGAACAUGCCGAUGACGAAGACGCAGAUGCCGAUGUCGACGACGGGGUUGCGCCCGGCGAGCGUGAUCAGGAGCCGGAGCGCGUCCGGCCCGCCCAACGCCCCGGCGCCGAGAGCCAGGACGACGAUCCCCGGCGCCGAGAGCCAGGACGACGAUGAGGAGAAGCAGGGAAGAAUGACAGAUGCAAUGGCGCAGGCCAGGGCGGCGAACCGCCUCACAGCCGCCGGCGACAUGAGCGCCGCCGGCGCCGGGGCGACUUGUAGGUAAACAAGCAUGACGCCCAUGUUGUAUGCGGUGGCGAGGGCAAGUGGCAUGAAGAGGCCGGCGAUGCAGACGAGGACGGGGCUGUGCGGGGAGACCGCGCGCUGCAGGGAUUCAAGAAGCGGGUUUAGAACGUGGAGGCCGGCGACGGCAACGCAGAGCACAAACAUGGUGAUCUCGGAGAGGACCAUCCUGAAACUUGUGGCGCGGUGCGGCGGGAAUCGAUGUUAAUUGUUGAGGUAGAAAGGUGUGGGUGGAUUGAAGGAAGCUCCCUGUGGUAUGGUAUAGUCGCAGAGAUAUAUGAAUAGCACAGACCACCGAAAAUGGUAGCUAGGUCGCUGUAGGAGGAAGAAGAAUAUUUUAGCCUAAUCUGUGAACUGAAAUCACUCGAGAACUUGAAACACGCGAGGUCUGGGAGGCAAAACCGGUCUGUUGAUCCUGAAAC